AAAUUUAACCAGGUGCAAGACCGUCUUGCAAAAUCCUCUUUCAAAACACAGAACUUCGAAGCUCCAUAGUCCUGAUAAUCUCUUAGCACUUGGAGAAAUGUGGUAAAGCCGAAACAGUGGGGAGAGAAGUAGUCCAGAUGGCCACUGUGUACUUGCCUCCCGAAAAACAGAGCCCCUUUUGAAGCAAAGGACCCUAGUAGGUAAGAGGGAGGCUCAUCUGCAGUUCUAUC